GACGAACGCUGGCGGCGCGCCUAACACAUGCAAGUCGAGCGAUGAAGCUCCUUCGGGAGUGGAUUAGCGGCGGACGGGUGAGUAACACGUGGGUAACCUGCCUCAUAGAGAGGGAUAGCCUUCCGAAAGGAAGAUUAAUACCUCAUAAGAUUGUAGUUUCGCAUGAAACGGCAAUAAAAGGAGCAAUCCACUAUUAGAGGGACCCGCGUCGCAUUACCUAGUGGGUAAGGUAAGGGCUUACCAAGGCGACGAUGCGUAGCCGACCUGAGAGGGUGAUCGGCCACAUUGGGACUGAGACACGGCCCAGACUCCUACGGGAGGCAGCAGUGGGGAAUAUUGCACAAUGGGGGAAACCCUGAUGCAGCAACGCCGCGUGAGUGAUGACGGUCUUCGGAUUGUAAAACUCUGUCUUUGGGGACGAUAAUGACGGUACCCAAGGAGGAAGCCACGGCUAACUACGUGCCAGCCGCCGCCGUAAGAC
rnacentral:rRNA from 1 species